AGUCAGACUUGAUAUACGGAUGAAUUUGUUGCUUUUUAGAGGGGCAAUGGAUCUGUACAUGCGUGAGGUGGCGAGGGGCGUGGCCAGGGGGCGGCUAGCAGCGUGUGCCACCAGGGAAAUGUGUAUGAACAUAAAAAAGGCGCCUGUCAAGAAAGGUUCGUUCGGUGCAAGGAGUUGGCACAGGAGGCGUCUGAGGCUGUGCAGAGCAGCCGUCUGAACCUGGUGCCACAGCUGCACAGGAGGGCAUGGCAUAGCUGGCUGGACAACAUCACAGACUGGUGUGUCUCCCAGCAACUCUGGUGGGGCCACAGAAUGCCAGUGUACCACAUCACUGCAGCAGACGGCCGGGAGGUGUGGGUGGCAGCUGCUCGGAGGAAGAUGCAAGGCGGAAGGCUGUGGAGAAGGAAGACUGUGCUGCUGCAUGGCCUCCUGUGUGAUGGUGGCAGCCACAAGACAUCCAAGUCCUGGGGCAAUGUGAUAAACCCCCUGGAUGUGAUCAGUGGGGCGUCCCUGGAGGUACUGUGUGAGAGGAUGGAGGGGAGCCUGAAUACAGAAGAGGUACUCACUGGUAUCAGGAGGAACUUCCCCACAGGCAUCCCAGAGUGUGGAGCUGAUGCCCUUUGGUUCACCCUGUGCUCCACCAACUUCAAUACUGCACACCCCGUCCUGCAGCCUCAAGGCACUCACCUCUCCUUUUCCAGUCAUGGGUGCCUUGCCUCCUCCUUGCAACACCACCACCACCACCACCACCACUGCUGCCAUUACCUACGAGGGGGAGAGACUGUGAUGUGGCUGCAGGUGGCUAGGUUCGGAGGCCUCCAGAGAGCUGCCCAGAGUGAAGCUUGUGGUAUAGAGGGACAGCUGCUGAUCAUCAAGCUUACAUAGUGACUGGAGGAAAGUGGGAGGAGCCUGGAGGGAGUGAUGGAGGUACAGUACUUGGAGAAAAUCCCUUCACCGUGACAACUGGGUGUCUGCUGUACAGGCCACUGACCAAUGUUUUAGAUCCUCAUCAGUCACUGCUACACCUUGCAACCAGUAUUUGGAGAACACAGUGAGAAUAAUUGAGGGUGGUUGCAUCACCCUCAAUCACGAUCUACAAAACUCAAACGAUGACCAAGCCUGAGCCCAGACCGAGACCCAGAGAAAUGUAAACAAACGCAGUCAGACUUGAUAUACGGGUGAAUUUGUUGCUUUUUAGAGGGGCAAUGGAUCUGUACAUGAGUGAGGUGGCGAGGGGCGUGGCCAGGGGGCGGCUAGCAGCGUGUGCCACCAGGGAAAUGU